UCAUUUGCUGUAAAUUUUGAUAUCUCUAGUUGUCUGUCUAUGUAACUCCUUGUUGUCUGCACUUGCUUGGGAAUUUUCCAAAGAGUGAAGUCAGCAGCUGUUUGUUUAAAGUUGAGCAACGUGCAGGAAGGUUUAACAUAGGUAUUAGCUACAGACUCGAGUUGGAAAAGUGAUAUCUUAUACUCACAGGGCGAGGUGAGAGAAACACGAAGGCAAACCGUAACUGUCCCAAAACCAUCAAAUAGAUAAUCUCUCUAUUAACGCUUUACCUCACCACGUUGGUAAUCUAAUCCACUACCAGACCUUGCAGUACAGAAAUGAGGGUAAAUGAGGUCUGGAAUUCAGAAAUAUGAUGGGGGGUGAUUUGUGGAAUAUACAAGAGAUAUGCGAUCAGGUAAAG